CAGACAUAGAGGCGGGCUCUUGGUUCUUGCAUGGAAACGUUCAGGAUUCUUUCAAAGUUAGAGAACCAUAACUUUGUUUUUUACUCCUUGGUUCUUUUAUUCAUGUGAUUUAGCCUAGCAAGACUAAGUCACACAUGCUAACAGCCAGCUCAGAAUAGAUAUAAUGAUUUUAGAUCAAAACUCUGUGCAGAAAAAAAAAAAUCAUGGACUGAAAUAGGGGAUAUCAGGGCCAAGCAAACUCAGAUGCCUUAAGGAAAUAGCAAAAAUGGGUUCUUCCCUCUUCUGUGGACGGCCAGCGUGUUACAGCACCCGUGUGCAUGUGAGAUCUCUGCCUUUUAUUUUCAGUUACCCCCAAGUCUCCUAACCAAAGCGUCUCCUCCCUGAUGAGGGUGAUCACUGGCUACAAGCCUGGGGCUUCCACACCCAAGGUCUGGGAAGCUGCUCUUUCCGGAAGGGUGGUAGAGACCCUGGGAACCAGACCAGGCGGGCUCACAAAGUAUGAAGAGAAUGUCGGGAGAGGAAGUGGUGGCUCUGAGUCAGCACGAGUCAUCUGGUUCCAGUGACAAUGAAGACUGAGGUGUCUGCUUUGCAGUUUUUUUUUUUCUUUUCUUGUCUUUUUUUUUUUUUUUCCUAAUCAUGUGGACAUCUCUGAGAAUGAGGGGACUGGGUGACUUUGCAGUGUCUGCUUUCUAAGUUUCAAAGUGACUUUCCAGGCAAGCUGCGCAUAUCUUGGGAUCUUCACAGCACAGUGGCUGGGAAGGCAGGCGGACCCGUCUAUCAGCUUCUCCCUGACAUCCAGCAAGAAGCAGCUCAAGGGUUUAUCUUGGCUCACAGUUUGAAGGUCCGACUCAUCAUGGCAGGACUUGGCGUUGGGUCAGAUGCCCUGUGGCUGUGUCAUGUGGAAUGCGAGGCUGCCUGCUCAUAUCUCAGCAGAUCCAGAGGGGACAAAGAAGAAGGCCACACCCACACGACUUCAGGUGGGAUUCUUGCGGGGGCAGGGAUCGAGUCAAACCUUGGAAAUGACGUCAUUCUGAACUCAUCUGCCUUUAUCCAGAAGACUACCAAAGCAAACCAGAGGACCAGAGAACAGCAGCUGCUCUGGACAAAGAGGGGAGGACACCCACACCCACAUACCAAGUUCUGGUUGACUUCUACAGCAGAAGAAGCAGGAGACACAAGAAGAAGUCUCCGAUUUGACGGUCAGGAUCCCGGAGAAGACUCUCCAGCCACAGGGCUGAUCAUGGUGGCUUCUCUCCAGAUGGGUGAAACUCAGAGGGACUGAAAUAUAAGAAGAUCGAUGCCAGAUGUUGUUGUGAUGACAACCUGUUGGGUUGAAGGACCCCAGGAAGACACAGUCCAGAUUCACAGGGACAGAGCCACUCACCUAUUGUCACAUGCAGCACAGAAUAAUGCAGAGGCAUGGCAUCAUAACAAUUCCUGAAUGGUGCUUCUCAGAAGAUGGUACUUCUUGGGGUCUGGUACCUGGACUAGUGAGGCUUCUCAGGGGAUGGGACCCCAACCCAGAAUGACAACAUCACCUGAUAACUUCAUCUUCAUCAUUAUCAUCAUCAUCAUCAUUGUUGUUAUUCCUUUUGUUUUGUUUUGAGAUUGUAAUAAAAUUAUAUCAUUUCUC
rnacentral:lncRNA from 1 species